rnacentral:sRNA from 1 species
UGAUAGUCAAGGGCGAGCGCCUCCGCCUC